rnacentral:rRNA from 1 species
UACAGAGGGGGCAAGCGUUGUUCGGAAUUACUGGGUGUAAAGGGUUCGUAGGCGGUGCGGCAAGUUGGGAGUGAAAUCUCUGGGCUUAACCCAGAGGCUGCUUCCAAAACUGCUGUGCUUGAGUGUGGGAGAGGCGCGUGGAAUUGCAGGUGUAGCGGUGAAAUGCGUAGAUAUCUGCAGGAACACCCGUGGCGAAAGCGGCGCGCUGGACCACUACUGACGCUGAGGAACGAAAGCUAGGGGAGCAAACAGG